GAUGAACGCUGGCGGCGUGCCUAAUACAUGCAAGUCGAGCGAACGGACGAGAAGCUUGCUUCUCUGAUGUUAGCGGCGGACGGGUGAGUAACACGUGGAUAACCUACCUAUAAGACUGGGAUAACUUCGGGAAACCGUAGCUAAUACCGGAUAAUAUUUUGAACCGCAUGGUUCAAUAGUGAAAGACGGUUUUGCUGUCACUUAUAGAUGGAUCCGCGCUGCAUUAGCUAGUUGGUAAGGUAACGGCUUACCAAGGCAACGAUGCGUAGCCGACCUGAGAGGGUGAUCGGCCACACUGGAACUGAGACACGGUCCAGACUCCUACGGGAGGCAGCAGUAGGGAAUCUUCCGCAAUGGGCGAAAGCCUGACGGAGCAACGCCGCGUGAGUGAUGAAGGUCUUCGGAUCGUAAAACUCUGUUAUUAGGGAAGAACAAAUGUGUAAGUAACUGUGCACAUCUUGACGGUACCUAAUCAGAAAGCCACGGCUAACUACGUG
rnacentral:rRNA from 1 species